AUGAAAUAAAAAAAUGACAGAAAAAAUGGCAUCUUUUAAAAUUACUGAUACAGUUUUCUAAUUACCAGGACUGAUUAUUCAUAAAGUAGCUCAUUACGCUAAAUAUGUAACAGAAGCACAUUCAUAUGAAGAAGAGGGAGGUAUAUCUGUAACAGUUCAGUGCUGGUCUAAUUUUUAUAAAUAGUUACUUUCAGUUUCAGCAUUUCAUUAAGGAUGAAAUUUAAUGAUUAUUUCUCUUUACUAUCUCUCCAAAGAAUGGCAAUGAAAUAAUUUAAAAUACUGUGAUAUGAGAAUAUAUUUAAUAAUUAAAAUAGAAAUAUAUUAAUUUUUGUGAUAUCAUCCAAUUCCCAACUGUACAGAAACAGGUUGAACUUUUAUUCUAUCCUUUCUCCAUUUUGAAUGCUGACAAUAAAUAAUAUUGUUUUUCAAUUAAUUCUGGAAACAAAAUCCAAGAAGAAACAAAAUAUUUUGUUCCAGUGAGAUGCAGGAGGCACAUCUAAAAGAUGGAAACCACCCAUCCUCAUAGACCCACCUACAGAAAGGAAAACAAUUGAUACCUGCUUUCCCAGCACAGGUAUUGCAUUAGUUGCUGAGAGUGAGAUACAUUCUGUCUCCAGUGAGUGACAACUAGAACUCUAGACUCUUCUUCCUUUGGCAUAAAAACUAUAAAUAUUAUUCUUCAAGGAAUAGUUCUAUUAUUGAAAAUGUAGAUGUAAGUCUGUUUUGCAUGUAAGCAAUAAAUAUGUAAUAUAUAUAAUA